GUAAGUUUCGUGAGCGAGAGAGGUAGAGGCGCAAAAGAAGUGAAAUAAGCUCCAGACGAACGCGAAUCACGGGUAUAAUCACGGGCAAUACAAAAUACUACAUUUUGAUAUAAUCUAUGAAGUCCGAAAAAGAACGGGUAGGCCGCGGAACACACUUAUAAUCUGCCCUGAACGCCUCCCGCGAUCCGUUCGGUGCUGUAGCCUUUCCUCCGCCGACGGAAGCCGCUCCUCCUCCGCACUCCCCAUUCGGCCGAGAGCUUGCUCAACCUUGGUCUGCCCUAGCUCGCGACUCCGUAGCCGCUCCCUGCUUCCGUUCGGCAUCCCGCUCUUCUUCGGCAUUCUCGGCAGUUCAUUCGAAGCUGAAGAAUAAUGAGCUCUAUUAUCGCAAUCGUUUACUGUCCUAUCAAAACUGCUCCUUGAGGAAUUCCCAAACUGAUCCGAUGAGAAAGGAUUCCAGAAAUAAUCCCACAUAGAAGUUUGAGGCGAUGAGAAUUGAUAGCUUGAUCUAUUGUAAGGAGAAGAGAAGAAUGAUGCUCUAUUAACUGAUGAAGAUUGUGACACAAAGAAACCAUUCAUACCAAGACUUUCCCCGGGAUAGUAGGAUUAGAGAUGCACAGCUUCAUGUGGCUCUAGCCAUUCUUCAACAGCAAGAACAAUGAGCUCCAGGUAUUCAGGGAAGUCCGGGCGAGUGCUAUGUUGGUGCGGAUUGUCGUCCUUAUUACUCAUGUCACACCAACAACAUAGCUAUGGGCGAUAGUUCUACAGGUGCCCGCGGUGGGCAGACGACAGGACGACUAUAGGUUUUUUAGCU